rnacentral:tRNA from 1 species
CGGAGUGUGGUGUAACGGCUAACAUUUUGGUUUUGGGUACCAAAGACUCAGGGUUCGAAUCCCUGCACUCCGA